CCUACGGGUGGCAGCAGUGGGGAAUAUUGGACAAUGGGGGAAACCCUGAUCCAGCAAUGCCGCGUGUGUGAAGAAGGCCUGCGGGUUGUAAAGCACUUUCGGUUGGGAAGAAAAGUUUGGCGCCAAUACCGCCGAACCUUGACGUUACUGACAGAAGAAGCACCGGCUAACUCUGUGCCAGCAGCCGCGGUAAUACAGCGGGUGCAAGCGUUAUUCGGAGUGCCUAGGCGUAAAGCGUGCGUAGGUGGUAAAGCCCCGGGCUUAACCUGGGAACUGCAUUUGAUACUACAUGGCUAGAGUAUGGUAGAGGGAAGUGGAAUUUCCGGUGUAGCGGUGAAAUGCGUAGAUAUCGGAUGGAACACCAAUGGCGAAGGCAGCUUCCUGGACUAAUACUGACACUGAGGCACGAAAGCGUGGGUAGCAAACAGGAUUAGAUACCCGAGUAGUC
rnacentral:rRNA from 1 species